rnacentral:rRNA from 1 species
UUUUCCUACGGGGGGCAGCAGCCGCGGUAAUACGUAGGUGGCAAGCGUUGUCCGGAUUUAUUGGGCGUAAAGCGAGUGCAGGCGGUUCAAUAAGUCUGAUGUGAAAGCCUUCGGCUCAACCGGAGAAUUGCAUCAGAAACUGUUGAACUUGAGUGCAGAAGAGGAGAGUGGAACUCCAUGUGUAGCGGUGGAAUGCGUAGAUAUAUGGAAGAACAACAGUGGCGAAGGCGGCUCUCUUGUCU